rnacentral:rRNA from 1 species
UCUUUCUUUGCUGGCGACCGGCGCACGGGUGAGUAACACGUAUCCAACCUGCCCUUUACUCGGGGAUAGCCUUUCGAAAGAAAGAUUAAUACCCGAUAGCAUAAUGAUUCCGCAUGGUUUCAUUAUUAAAGGAUUCCGGUAAAGGAUGGGGAUGCGUUCCAUUAGUUUGUUGGCGGGGUAACGGCCCACCAAGACUACGAUGGAUAGGGGUUCUGAGAGGAAGGUCCCCCACAUUGGAACUGAGACACGGUCCAA